CAUGACAGUCAUUUAAACAAGCAUUUCAUAAUUUGACAAUGUAAUGAUGAGAAAUAGGGGCCUAAUCAUCGCUUGUUUUGUCCCAAUCAAAGCCCAAUCUAAUAUUAUCCGUUAAAGAAUCCGAAGGAAGAAUUGACAGUUAAAUAAAAUAUUAAAAAAUAAGUAAGUACAAAAGUUACUGAUCAGAAAUAAGGCAGAAGGAUCGGGAUCAAGCUUUUUGACACGGAAUUUGUGUCUUUUUUUUUUUGGAUUGAGAAGAAAAGG
rnacentral:lncRNA from 1 species